GCCGGUUUGGCUCAGUGGAUAGAGCGUUGGCCUGCGGACUCAAGGGUUCCAGGUUCGAUUCCGGUCAAGGGCA
rnacentral:tRNA from 1 species